ACCUAGAAUGUAUAGGCUUCCCUCUACAGGCGUUCAAAUCACGCAACGAUUCCGCUAGAGACUCAAGAGAAACGAUUUUUUCAUUGGUUGCUCCCAAAUUGUUGUUGAUUAUUCCAAGAAACAAAUGGGAAAUUCAUGGAAUAGUGGGAAAGGACGUUUUCUGGUGAUGGCGUAAUGGAACAUGGAGUUUGGGAGAAUGGAAUGGAGGAAAAAUUAUUACAGUUUUCUCUCGUCGAUAUCAUAAAUGCACUACUCCCAAAAAGGAUAUACAUACGUAUUUAUAAAUAUCUUCACACAUACUUGUCUCCUACUCUAGCGGUGUACAUACAUGAAAUAGGAAUAUUACGAGAGGGUCACCGCCUACGCCUCCAAUGGACAAUACAUCGUUCGUCUACGGUGCAUCAUCGAUCUUAUUGUUUGCCUAGGAUCGAAUGCGGCUUUUAGCGGUCACAAAGAGAGCGAAGAAAAGUCGAGAAAAUUUUUCUAAAGGAAUUCACAAGAGUGGCGGUGGUCAUUUUUUAAGUAAAUAUCCCCCUGUCCCUCUGCCAUUGGCGUUUUCCCACCUGCACAUUAUUUUAAUUGGCAAAAUUAUUUAUCUAUUUUUCCAACAAACAAGACAAUGUGACAAAAGCCUUCAACUAAGCCCAGUGUACAAGAACUCUCGUCUUUUUCUCACCGCUGCCUUUCAUCAUUAAGAGAAAUGAUUGCAAGCUUGAGAUGAAGACCACCUAUACCAAUGAGCCAAGCCCCCCCCCCUCGACCCCCUCCUCACGGCAAAUAAAAAUUACUCUUUUUCGUAGAAAUGCAACCGGAGGCUGAGACAAUCUUGUCAAUUAGUUUCUCGCGGUUUUCCUUUCCAUCUACCUCGUCAUUUAUUUUCAUUUCUUCCAAGAAAAGAUUUCAAUAAACCGCCAGAUUACACUUUUACCUCAAAUAUCUAAUGAAAGAGAAUAAAUUGGAAGUCCCUAAUGAAGUCAUUAAUUGAAAUAAUCAACUGAAUAAUCGUAUUUUUGGAAAUAUUAUCACCAAACACACGAGAACAACGAGAAUACAAAUGACGAUGGAAAAUAAGAAUUAAUCGUUUAUGGCAACAUUUGAGAAUUGGGUAUUAGAUAUGAGAGAGGGGUAAUGAAAGAAAAAACAAAAGCAGAAAGGACGGGCCUAGCCAUAUAAUAACAGGGUUGCCGGCGGUGCCAAGGCCCUCGCUAACGAACCCACUCGACUCGACGUAUUCGGGCCCGCUAGGACUGCGACACUGUAUUAUUUCAACAAUUUUUACUCAUUUACUCUUUGUGUUUCUUAGCCUUGUGGGGGCAUCAUCAGAAAUCAUUGUCGAAUCCAUAUAAUCAGCUGGUGAUUACGUGCAACCGUAAUUCUGAGUAAAGCCUCAAUCUUUUCUCUAAUAAGCCACAUGAUUGUUACUGGUAAUAUCAAAGUGAAGAAUAAAACGUUUCAUUCUUUUUUCA